UACGUAGGGGGCAAGCGUUGUCCGGAUUUAUUGGGCGUAAAGAGCUCGUAGGCGGCUUGUCGCGUCGACUGUGAAAACCCGCGGCUCAACCGCGGGCCUGCAGUCGAUACGGGCAGGCUAGAGUUCGGUAGGGGAGACUGGAAUUCCUGGUGUAGCGGUGAAAUGCGCAGAUAUCAGGAGGAACACCGAUGGCGAAGGCAGGUCUCUGGGCCGAUACUGACGCUGAGGAGCGAAAGCGUGGGUAGCAAACGGG
rnacentral:rRNA from 1 species